GGCGCUAUCGUCUAGCGGUUAGGACGCCGCCCUCUCAAGGCGGAAACACGGGUUCGAUUCCCGUUAGCGCUA
rnacentral:tRNA from 1 species